rnacentral:rRNA from 1 species
GGNGANNGGCNGCGUGCUAUACAUGCAGUCGAGCGGACAGAAGGGAGCUUGCUCCCGGAUGUUAGCGGCGGACGGGUGAGUAACACGUGGGUAACCUGCCUGUAAGACUGGGAUAACUCCGGGAAACCGGAGCUAAUACCGGAUAGUUCCUUGAACCGCAUGGUUCAAGGAUGAAAGACGGUUUCGGCUGUCACUUACAGAUGGACCCGCGGCGCAUUAGCUAGUUGGUGGGGUAAUGGCUCACCAAGGCGACGAUGCGUAGCCGACCUGAGAGGGUGAUCGGCCACACUGGGACUGAGACACGGCCCAGACUCCUACGGGAGGCAGCAGUAGGGAAUCUUCCGCAAUGGACGAAAGUCUGACGGAGCAACGCCGCGUGAGUGAUGAAGGUUUUCGGAUCGUAAAGCUCUGUUGUUAGGGAAGAACAAGUGCGAGAGUAACUGCUCGCACCUUGACGGUACCUAACCAGAAAGCCACGGCUAACUACGUGCCAGCAGCCGCGGUAAUACGUAGGUGGCAAGCGUUGUCCGGAAUUAUUGGGCGUAAAGGGCUCGCAGGCGGUUUCUUAAGUCUGAUGUGAAAGCCCCCGGCUCAACCGGGGAGGGUCAUUGGAAACUGGGAAACUUGAGUGCAGAAGAGGAGAGUGGAAUUCCACGUGUANCGGUGAAUUGCGUANAGAUGUGGAGGAACACCAGGGGCGAANGCGACUCUCUGGUCUGUAACUGACNCUGAGGANCGAAAACUUGGGGAGCGAACAGNAUUAUU